CCGUCUUGAAACACGGACCAAGGAGUCUAACAUGUGCGCGAGUCAUUGGGUCUGACCAAACCUAAAGGCGCAACGAAGGUGAAGGCAGCCUUGGGUUUGCCUAGGUAGGAUCCUCUUUUUGUAGAGGAGGCGCACUACCGGCCCGUCUCGACCGCGUUGCGGUGGGGCGGAGCGAGAGCGCACACGUUGGGACCCGAAAGAUGGUGAACUAUGCCUGAGUAGGAAAAAGCCAGAGGAAACUCUGGUGGAAGUCCGUAGCGAUUCUGACGUGCAAAUCGAUCGUCGAACUUGGGUAUAGGGGCGAAAGACUAAUCGAACCGUCUAGUAGCUGGUUCCUUUCCGAA
rnacentral:rRNA from 1 species